rnacentral:lncRNA from 1 species
CAUGGGCACCCUUGGGUCCCUUGGGGUCACUAUGUUACACCUGCUUUUUAUCUGUCUGGGCAAGAGCUGCUCAAGCCACACCUUGUGACACUGAGGUGAAAAGGCAGGUCGGGUGAAGAAGAGCAGGAUGUUUCAUUUUUAUCAAGCAUCACCUGAUUCAAAAUGUAGCCACUGAAAAGAAGCCAUCGUUUUUGGCCUGCGUCUCUGAGGAUAAGAUAGUGCGUGGGUGAUGGAUGCAGCCCAGGAGGACAGCACAUUGCACUCUCACCUCCUUUGCAGUUAAGUGUGAAAUAGUGCCAAUAGAGUGUAAAAGAAAAGAAAGAAGAUGAUUCACCUCCCAAAGAUUCCCCACUGCUGUGUCCCUUCUAUCAACUUGAUACAAAAAAACACAAUGGCCCCGGGAACCACGUGUUGAAGAUGAGAGAGCUAAAAGAUGGAAAGAGACUGGAGCCCUGAGUCACCACCUGGAGGAAAACUACCCACCCAUCAGGAAUUUCUACUACACAUUUGGGAGUUUUUGGGGUUACAGCAGCUAAUUUAACGAAAACACCCAGAGACAAGAGCUAUUACUGCACAAAUUGGUUAAGUUACCUUUUUGUAUGUUUGGGUCCUCUCUAUUCGAUGAGACUGCGCGUUCCUUUGAAGCAAAUCUGUUUAAAAUUCUUAUAUCCCCAGAGGGCCUAGCAGAGAGUAUGCACAGAGUGAGCCUUCAGUAAAUGCUGAGUAAAUAAGCUCCUAAUGGAUGAAACUGUGUCUUCGAAGUUUGUUCUGACCAGUACUUAGUAUAGGAUUUUGUGCUGUUGGUCACUUUUCAUAAAGGUUCUUGCUAUUAAGGAACUUGACAUCCAAUGUACUCAUAGAAAGUAGAAAUUCAGGGGAAACAAAUAGAAGAGAUAUGUCCAAAAAUCCAUUUAAAAUUUCAUUGACAGAUAUUUAUCUCUUUAAUCCUGGAAGUUGUUUCAUGUAAGGGAAGGUUCAGUAGAAUGAAAACAGGACUGUAAGCUGGGAGGAGAUUUGGGGUCUCUUGGCCAACUCUGCCACAAAUUGUGUUACCUUCAACUUCCCUGCCUGUAAAAUGAAGUCAGUGGUCCCUAAAAUGAAAUUGGACUAAUGGCAAAUUAGCUAGCAUUUGAUUAUACAUCGAUAGUUUCCCCAUGUGAUUUUAACGCACAAAUCAGAUUUUGGAACCAUUAGGUAGGUGAUCUUAUCUUAUGAGUUUAUCUUUUUCAACAUGGAAAAAUAAAUUUGUUUUGCUGACCGAAGGCUGUGUAACUUAGAACUGGAAAGAGACAUGUAAUUGAAUAACCCAUCUCUAUGGGGCAAAAAAAUGAAACACCUUUAGUUUGUUCAAAGAUGAAAUGGAAAAAUAAACAUGUUUUAAGAU